AGGGUUCGAUUCUGGCUCAGGAUGAACGCUAGCGACAGGCUUAACACAUGCAAGUCGAGGGGCAUCACGGGAGUAGCAAUACAACUGGUGGCGACCGGCGCACGGGUGAGUAACGCGUAUGCAACCUACCUAUCAGAGGGGAAUAACCCGGCGAAAGUCGGACUAAUACCGCAUAAAACAGGGGCACCGCAUGGUGAUAUUUGUUAAAGAAAUUCGCUGAUAGAUGGGCAUGCGUUCCAUUAGGUAGUUGGUGAGGUAACGGCUCACCAAGCCGACGAUGGAUAGGGGAACUGAGAGGUUGGUCCCCCACACUGGUACUGAGACACGGACCAGACUCCUACGGGAGGCAGCAGUGAGGAAUAUUGGUCAAUGGGCGGGAGCCUGAACCAGCCAAGUCGCGUGAAAGGAAGAAGGAUCUAUGGUUCGUAAACUUCUUUUGCAGGGGAAUAAAGUGCAGGACGUGUCCUGUUUUGUAUGUACCCUGAGAAUAAGGAUCGGCUAACUCCGUGCCAGCAGCGGC
rnacentral:rRNA from 1 species